rnacentral:rRNA from 1 species
AUUGAACGCUGGCGGCAGGCUUAACACAUGCAAGUCGAACGAAGUGGCGAACGGGUGAGUAACGCGUAAUCAACCUGCCCUUCAGAGGGGGACAACAGUUGGAAACGACUGCUAAUACCGCAUACUGAAGGAGGGGAUUGCGUCUGAUUAGCUAGUUGGAGGGGUAACGGCCCACCAAGGCGAUGAUCAUGAUCCGCUCUGAGAUGAUGAGCUGCCACAUUGGGACUGAGACACGGCCCAGACUCCUACGGGAGGCAGCAGUUGGGAAUCUUCCGCCAUGGACGAAAGUCUGACGGAGCAACGCCGCGUGAGUGAUGACGGCCUUCGGGUUGUAAAGCUCUGUUAAUCGGGACGCGGUACCGGAAUAGAAAGCCACGGCUAACUACGUGCCAGCAGCCGCGGUAAUUC